rnacentral:snRNA from 1 species
AUAUUUAUAAUCAACUUUA